UUGGAAUGAGUCUGAUUAUUGAGAAAGAUUGUUCAGGACAUAUGUCAAAGUUGUUGGAUAUACAACUUAUAGAUCUCAGGUUAGUGAAGUUAAGUGGAGAGUAAAACACUUCUUCAUGUCUUUCUUUGUAUAUUUUUACUUAGCUUUUGUGACUUUGGUUUAAAUAUUUGCUGUCUCUUACAGUCAAACUAUCAUCGAGUGUACUUUAUGGCAAAAUUACACUGAAGAUGUCCAUGCCUUCCUUCCUGCGAAAACUAGUAGCUCAUGCUACUAUUUACGACAUAUGGAAGUAGCUGAACAAUCUUGUCCACAAUUAGCAAACAAUUCAGCCGACAACUAUUUUUGUGAUUCUGGAUAAGGAGAUCAGAAACAUCAUCUCAGCAAGGCGUCAACUAUUAAAUGAGCCAAAAAUCAGAAGUACUAGAUUUUACCCCGUGGUACACCACGGACUAAUAUUUUAUGUGUUUCUGUUAAAUAGAACCAUUUAGUUUAUAGUUUACAUAUACGUACGGUUAGAUUUUUACCGUUUAGUGUUUUAAGGACUAUUAUUUUUUUAACUAACUUAUAAUUAUGUUUAGGUACAUAAUCAUUUAAAGGUUAAAGGCCAACCGUUUGGCAAAAAAUCCAAUGAUCAUAUGGAAUAUAU
rnacentral:lncRNA from 1 species